rnacentral:lncRNA from 1 species
CUGCUAAAAUAGCACGCCUCUGUCUACGCUCCUUGCAAUUCAUUAGGGUUUCUUUUGUUUUUGUUUUUUUAGGUUUUAUUUUAUCUUGAUUUGUUGCUUUCUGUCUCUUGAUGCGACGGUAAAUAUCAGAUCUCUUUAGUACAGCAAUUUCAAGUAACGAGUUAGUAUGGAGACAGAAUUUGCGGGACUAUCUUUGGAGGAGGGGGAAGAUGAAAUUUUACAAGUACAAACUGAAACUAAUACAAACAGAGAAACGGAAGUUUUGCAAUUGGUGGGAUGCUUUUUAACUGCAAGUAUUGUUCAUUUUCCAGCAAUGAGGAGUACAAUGGCGAAUUUGUGGCACCCUGUAAAAGGAGUUCAGAUUAGAGAUUUGGGGGAAAAAAGGUAUCUAUUUCAAUUUUUUCAUAUAAUGGAUCUUGAAAGGGUUAUUAAAGGUUCACCUUGGACUUUUAACAAUCAUUUAUUGAUUCUUCAUAAGUUGCAAAGGGGGGAGGAUCCUUUGAAGGUUUCUUUAAUCUACUCACCUUUGUGGGUUCAACUUUAUAAUGUUCCUAUUGGUUUUGUUUCGAAAAAUCUGGCAAUUCAAUUGGGCAAUUUCAUUGGUGAAUUCAUGGAGUAUGAUGGUUCAAGUCUGGGUAAAGAUAGCAGGAAUUUCAUGAGAAUAAGAGUUAAAAUUGAUGUACGGCGUCCUUUGAAAAGGAAAAAACAGAUAAUGUGUUAUGGAAAGUGUUCAUAUGUCUGGUUUAAAUAUGAAAGGCUAUCACUCUUUUGCUUUUAUUGUGGUUGUUUGGGCCAUAGUGAUUCCUUUUGUGAAGCAAGGAUGGCGGAAGGAGUGGAAACUAAAGAGAUGGGAUGGGAUUUAUCACUUAGGGCACAGUCUCGACGAGCUCAAACGAUGACAAGUGUAUGGUUGCGAGAAGAAGGGGACGAACAAGGAAGUGGGAUCAAUGGAAAAAGGCAACUUAGAAGGAACGCGGUAAGAGAUCUGGCAGAAAAUAUGGUUAAUAAUGAAAAUAUUGAUCCAAUAUUGGCGAUUAAUCUUGUAGGAAGUAGAUCUCAGACACGAGAAGUAAACGGGAAGUGGAGUGGGAUUUUGAUGAAUAACUUAAUGGAACAUGAUCUUGAAGAUGAAGUAUUUAUUGGAGAGGAGGGAAAGAAGAGAAAUAGAAGGGAGAUGGAGGCGGAUUUGGCCAAAGUAGAGUCGAACAUCUCGACGGUAAGGAGUAUGAGGACAUUGGAGGUGAGCAAUCAAUCAUCGGCAGCUGCCAAAUGGCAAGCUGACCGAGGGCAAUGAAAAUCCUAAGUUGGAAUGUUCGUGGAUUGGGGAGUCCACGGACAAUUCGGAGACUUCGGUACAUGCUGAAGUUAUAUAAUCCCCAAGUAGUCUUCUUUAUGGAGACAAAAAUAAGUAGUAAUCAAAUGGAAAGAGUUCGAAAGAGUUGUGGGUUUUUACACGGUAUUGAUGUGAGUUCAGAUGGUUCUAGGGGUGGGUUGUGUUUGGCUUGGCGUGAGCACAAAAGAAUCCAACUAAAGAGUUUUUCAAGAAGACAUAUUGAUGUGAUCAUUGAUGAAGAGGAUGAAGGGCACAAAUGGAGGUAUACAAGUUUUUAUGGGUCUCCAUAUUCACAAGGCACAGCUGAGGCUUGGAACCUAUUAAGGCUUCUAGGUACAGAAAGGGAGUUACCAUGGAUGGUUUGUGGAGAUUUUAAUGAAAUUCUGUAUAGUUUUGAAAAAAAAGGCGGUUUAGUGCGAGAGGAAGGACGAAUGGAAGAUUUUCGUAAGACUUUGGAGGAAUGUGAUUUAUCUGAUAUGAGGUUUACUGGGAACUGGUUUACUUGGGAAAUGGGGAAUUUACCUGAGAAUAAUAUUCAAGAGAGGUUAGAUAGAGGAGUGGCGACUGCAGAGUGGCUGCAUUUGUUUCCUGAUUUUCAGCUUCAACAUCUUCCUCAUACGUUUUCUGACCACUGCCCAUUACUGGUUAAUACAAAGAAUGAGUGCAGAGAGAGAACACAAAAAAGCUUCAAAUUUGAGGCUUGGUGGGUAUUGGAGGAUUCGUUUUUAAAUACAGUUAAAGACAUAUGGGAACAUUCUGAAGGAGAUUUUUUAAGCAAGUUGGACAGCAUGAAAGAGGGGCUGGAGCGAUGGGCUAGUCAAAUUCGGUUCUCUAGAAAAGUAAAGAAGAAGUUGUUAUCAUCCAAGCUGGUUUCAUUACUUGAAGAGGAAAGACAUGAAGAAAAUUUAGCUGACCUGAUUGAUACAAAGAUCCAACUUAAUUUCGAAAUAGAAAAGGAUGAGUGCUAUUGGGAACAAAGGGCAAGGGUGAACUGGUUGAAAUUUGGGGAUAAAAAUACAGCCUUUUUUCACAAACAAGCUACACAAAAACGACAGAGGAAUCUGAUUCGCAAAAUGAAGAACGAUGAUGGGAUGGAGACGGAAGAUUUAAAGGAAAUGGAAUUAAUUGCCAGGUCAUAUUUCAAUCAGUUAUUUUCUGGUGGCAGAUCUGGAAAUUUUGAGCAUGUUUUAUCUGGAGUUCACAGGUGUAUCUCAAACGAAGAUAAUUCAAUGCUAAAAGAGAGUUAUACAAAGGAGGAGAUUCAGCAGGCUCUGUCAGAAUUAGGGCCCACUAAGGCUCCAGGAGAAUAUGGAUUUCCAGCGUUUUUCUACCAGAAGUGUUGGGCAAUUAUCGGAGAAAAGGUAAUUUCUUUUUGUCUCGAUCAACUGAAUGGAAGAAUGGAGGUAGGACCAAUUAAUAGAACAAAUAUUGUUUUAAUCCCCAAAAUUUCAAAUCCAAUGGAUAUAUCACAUUUCAGGCCUAUUAGUUUGUGUAAUGUCAUAUACAAAUUAAUGGCUAAAGUUUUAGCGAAUCGUAUUAGGAAAGUGUUAGACAAAUGCAUUGUUCUUGCACAAAGUGCUUUUGUGCCUGGGAGAUUGAUAUCGGAUAAUGUGUUGCUGGCUUAUGAAUUAAUCCAUACGUUGAAACAGAAGAGGUCAGGGAAGAAGGGUUUUAUGGCAGUUAAGUUGGAUAUGAGUAAGGCAUAUGAUAGGGUGGAUUGGAGUUUUGUGGAGGAAAUAAUGAAGAAAAUAGGUUUUGAUCCAAAGUGGGUAACCAAACUGUUAAAAUGCGUUAAUACAGUCUCUUAUUCAAUAGGUAUUAAUGGGCAUCGUGGAGACUUCUUUUAUCCUUCAAGAGGUUUAAGACAAGGGGAUCCGUUGAGUCCGUUCUUAUUUCUGUUCUGUGGAGAAGGUCUCUCUAGCCUUAUGAGAUUGGGUAUGCAGGAAAACAAAAUUAGAGGUGUCAAAGCAAGCAGAAGAGGGCCGUAUGUUUCACAUUUGCUUUUUGCGGAUGAUUUUAUUCUGUUUGGGGAAGCUUCUGAGAGGGGUUCAAUUUUUUUAAAACAGGUCCUCCGUGAAUACGAAUUUUGCUCGGGUCAGAAAGUUAACUUUUCAAAAUCUACAAUUUUUUUCAGCAGCAACACUCAGGAAGGAGAAAGAAGAACAAUUACUCGGAUGCUUGGGGUACGAAGUUCAGAUGAUCUGGAAAGAUAUUUAGGGUUACCUAGCCUGGUGGGCAAAAAGAAGAAGAUAGCGUUUCAGAUGCUGAAGGAUAGAUUCAAGCAACGAAUUGACAAUUGUGGUAUCAAAUAUCUCUCACAAGGAGGUAAAGAGGUCUUCAUAAAAGCUGUUUUACAAUCUAUACCAACCUAUUCGAUGAUGUGUUUUUUACUUCCUAAAUCUUUCUGCAAGGAACUAGAGGGUAUUAUUGCUAAAUUUUGGUGGCAGAAAAAUAAGGGGAAAAAAGGGAUCCAUUGGUGCUCUUGGAAGGAUAUAUGCAUUGAAAAAGAAUGGGGUGGGUUAGGUUUUAGAAGUCUUGAUAAAUUCAAUAUAGCUUUACUGGCAAAACAGGGUUGGUGUCUUCUUAAUUAUCCGAGUUCUUUAUUAGCCCGAGUUUUAAAAGCGAAAUAUUUUCCAGAAACAAAUUUCUUAAAUGCUCCUCUGAGUAACUCACCUUCACUUACCUGGAGGAGUAUUUGGUCGUCAAAAAAACUCCUGACAGAUGGAUUAUGUUGGAGGGUUGGUAAAGGUGACCUCAUUUCAGUAUGGGAUGAUAUAUGGGUGCCGAAAAUAGCUGCAGACAGAUUACAGAAGGACAAUAACAUUGAAAAUAUCAGAGUAGUGUCUGAUUUAAUCAAUGAAGAUAGCAGAACAUGGAACAGGGAUUUGAUUGUUCAUACAUUUAGCUCGGAUAUCGCUAGGAAAAUACUACAGAUCCCGCUGUCAAAGUCAAUUCAGGAAGACAUCCAAGUGUGGAGAGGGGAGGCAACUGGUGACUUUUCCGUAAGGAGCGCCUAUAAACUAUUAUAGAAAGCUACAAUUGAUCCUAGUGUUUAUUUACAGACCAAUACAAAAAAUUUCUUCAGAAAACUAUGGAAUUUACAUUUACCCUCAAAAAUCAAGAUUACAAUUUGGAGAAUAGCUUGGAACUACAUUCCCACUUUUUUCAAUCGGAAGAUGCGGACAGUGAUGGCUGAGGAUCGAUGCUUGAGAUGCGGUCAGGAAGGAGAAGAUAGUUUCCAUGUUUUCUAUCUGUGCCCUACAGCAAAUGAGAUAUGGAGUCACUUAAAUUUCUCAUGGAUAUUCAACAACAGUCAUAUGGAUACUUGGAGUUGGCUUACCUGGGUUUUCAGCCAAGGGACAAAUGAACACUGCAGGAGUUUCUGUUGCGGGCUCUGGUUAAUCUGGACAAACAGGAAUAAAUUAUUAUAUGAAAACAUAUCAAACACUAGUUGGGAUAUCUCCAAACAAAUACAAAGUUAUAUUCUAGAGCUAGAAGGGAGUAGAGAAAGAGAACUUAUCGAGGGAACUAGCGUGAGGUCUAGACAAAGUUCACAAAGGGGGAAAAUGCCAUCCUUUUUGAUGCGGCCUUCGACUUAAAGAACUCUAGAUCUGCGUCAGGCCUUGUUGUUUGUAAUGAGGAAGGUAAGAUCGUUGCAGCAAAGUCGACCCUUCAUGAAGAUAUCGCAUCUCCAUUUGCGGCGGAAGCAGUGGCAGGUCUUCAAGCCGCAAGGUUAGAGAUUCAGUUAGGUUUUCAUACUGUAGACAUAAUCGGAGACUCAAGAAAAGUGAUUACAAAAUGCCAAAAUACAAGUCGUGACAAAUCAGAAAUAGGGGCGAUAAUCAGUGAUAUUUAAAGCUUAAAGGAUCAAUAUCGAAGGAUCAGAUUCCAUUUUAUCCCAAGGUCAGAGAACAAAGAAGCCCACAGUCUAGCUAGAGAAACACUCAAGAAGGGAAGAGAGCAGUACCUGGAGGGAGAGACCUUUCGAUCAUCUAGAGGAGAAAUGGUACCAAAUCAUCGGAUUUCUUCAGAGUAAAAGAAAUGGGAAGACUUCAGUGUAAAAGAAAUGGGAAGACUUCAGCGUUCGGUAAUAUGGGACGACGCUUGAAAUGGGUGGAAUAGCACCGUUCUGAAAUGCAAAAUUGAUAGUGAAAAGAUAUGGAAAGAUUUGCUUUUACGUUUCAGUGGUCUUGGGCAGAAGAAACGUCAGUAUCAUUUAUGAAGAUCAACUGACUGUUCGGCUGGAAACAAUUUGAAUUUUCAUUUAUUUUCUCUUUUCUUGUGCAAGACAAACAGAUAUUGGGCCUGCUUAUUUUUGUUAUUUUGUUUUCUUAGGGCAAAUUGGGUUUAGCCCAAUUGAACUUUAUUUUUACAAUUUAUUAAUAAAGUCCAAUCGAAUUUUUCAAAAAAAA